UCAUAAAAACCGCACACGUGGUGUUUACUACAUCCGUUAUCAAUUAUGGUUUUUUCAAUUUAAUCCGCGGGCCCAUCAUAAGUCAUCCGGGGCAUUCGGGGCAGAGUCGUUCGAAACUUUGGCGAUGGGUCUGGUAGUUGUCGUAGCAGUCGACAUUGUUCGCGCGACCGCCAGGUGAUCAUGCACACGCACGUACAACUUUGCGAGA